GGGUUGUGAGGUUAAGCGACUAAGCGUACACGGUGGAUGCCCUGGCAGUCAGAGGCGAUGAAGGGCGUGCUAAUCUGCGAUAAGCGCCGGUAAGGUGAUAUGAACCGUUAUAACCGGCGAUACCCGAAUGGGGAAACCCAGUGUGACUCGUCACACUAUCAUUAACUGAAUCCAUAGGUUAAUGAGGCGAACCGGGGGAACUGAAACAUCUAAGUACCCCGAGGAAAAGAAAUCAACCGAGAUUCCCCCAGUAGCGGCGAGCGAACGGGGAGGAGCCCAGAGCCUGAAUCAGCAUGUGUGUUAGUGGAAGCGUCUGGAAAGGCGCGCGAUACAGGGUGACAGCCCCGUACACAAAAGCGCAUGUGCUGUGAGCUCGAUGAGUAGGGCGGGACACGUGGUAUCCUGUCUGAAUAUGGGGGGACCAUCCUCCAAGGCUAAAUACUCCUGACUGACCGAUAGUGAACCAGUACCGUGAGGGAAAGGCGAAAAGAACCCCGGCGAGGGGAGUGAAAAAGAACCUGAAACCGUGUACGUACAAGCAGUGGGAGCACCCUUUGGGUGUGACUGCG
rnacentral:rRNA from 4 species